rnacentral:tRNA from 1 species
ACAGUGGUGGUUCAGUGAUAGAAUUCUCACCUUCCAUGUGGGAGACCUGAGUUUGAUUCCCAGGCAAUAUA